rnacentral:rRNA from 1 species
CCUACGGGUGGCUGCAGUGGGGAAUAUUGGACAAUGGGCGAAAGCCUGAUCCAGCCAUGCCGCGUGUGUGAAGAAGGCCUUCGGGUUGUAAAGCACUUUCAGUGGGGAAGAAAGCCUUGGGGCUAAUACCCUCGAGGAAGGACAUCACCCACAGAAGAAGCACCGGCUAACUCCGUGCCAGCAGCCGCGGUAAUACGGAGGGUGCGAGCGUUAAUCGGAAUUACUGGGCGUAAAGCGCGCGUAGGCGGUCUGAUAAGCCGGUUGUGAAAGCCCCGGGCUCAACCUGGGAACGGCAUCCGGAACUGUCAGGCUAGAGUGCAGGAGAGGAAGGUAGAAUUCCCGGUGGAGCGGUGAAAUGCGUAGAGAUCGGGAGGAAUACCAGUGGCGAAGGCGGCCUUCUGGACUGACACUGACGCUGAGGUGCGAAAGCGUGGGUAGCAAACAGGAUUAGAUACCCGAGUAGUC